GCCCCGUAAUCGGAAUGAGUACACUUUAAAUCCUUUAACAAGGAUCCAUUGGAGGGCAAGUCUGGUGCCAGCAGCCGCGGUAAUUCCAGCUCCAAUAGCGUAUAUUAAAGUUGUUGCGGUUAAAAAGCUCGUAGUUGGUUCUGCGUGCCGCGCUGUCGGUUCGCCGCCUGUCGGUGUAACUGGCAUGUCGCGGCAUGUCCUGUCGGUGGUGAACGGAGUCCACAAUGCUACAUAGGCUUUACAGCCGAUGUUAGCGUCGUGUGUACUUCCGUUGGCCGAUCUCUCCUACUUCGGUGCUCUUAAACGAGUGUCGAGGUAGGCCGACACGUUCACUUUGAACAAAUUAGAGUGCUUAAAGCAGGCUGAAAUAUCUGCCUGAAUAGUGGUGCAUGGAAUGAUAAAACAGGACCUCGGUUCUAUUUUGUUGGUUUUAGGAAUAUGAGGUAAUGAUCAAUGUGGACUGGCGGGGGCAUUCGUAUUGCGACGUUAGAGGUGAAAUUCUUGGAUCGUCGCAAGACGCACUAGAGCGAAAGCAUUUGCCAAGUAUGUCUUAAUUGAUCAAGAACGAAAGUUAGAGGUUCGAAGGCGAUCAAACCAUAAACGAUGCCAGCCAGCGAUCCGCCGAUGUUCCUUUAAUGACUCGGCGGGGAGCUUCCACCCGGGAAACCAAAGCUUUUGGGUUCCGGGGGAAGUAUGGUUGCAAAGCUGAAACUUAAAGGA
rnacentral:rRNA from 1 species